rnacentral:tRNA from 1 species
GAGGGGAUGGUCGAGAGGCUGAAGACGCCUUCCUGCUAAGAAGGUAUACGGGCUUAAACCCGUAUCGAGGGUUCGAAUCCCUUUCCCCUCGCCA